GACGAACGCUGGCGGCGUGCUUAACACAUGCAAGUCGAACGGAAAGGCCUCUUUCGUGGGGUACUCGAGUGGCGAACGGGUGAGUAACACGUGAGUAACCUGCCCUUGACUUUGGGAUAACUUCAGGAAACUGGGGCUCAUACCGGGUAGGAGCUCCUGCUGCAUGUUGGGGGUUGGAAAGUUUCGGCGGUUGGGGAUGUACUCGCGGCUUAUCAGCUUGUUGGUGGGGUAGUGGCUUACCAAGGGUUUGACGGGUAGCCGGCCUGGGAGGGUGACCGGCCAAAUUGGGACUGAGAUACGGCCCAGAAUCCUACGGGAGGCAGGAGGGGGGAAUAUUGCACAAUGGGUGGAAGCCUGAUGCAGCAAAGCCGUGUGCGGGAUGACGGCCUUCGGGGUGGAAACCGCUUUCGGUCAUGACGAAGCUUUGUGUGACGGUAGUGGGUAAAGAAGCACCGGCUAACUACGUG
rnacentral:rRNA from 1 species